rfam:Cavia porcellus supercont2_4 genomic scaffold, whole genome shotgun sequence.
GUCUAUGGCCAUACCACCCUGAAACGUGCCCAAUGUCAUCUGAUCUUGGAAGCUAAGCAGGGUCAGGCCUGGUUAGUACUUGGAUGGGAGAGGCUAUAUAACAUGUAUU